GAAGGUAUAGCUCAGUGGUGGAGCACAUGCUUAGCAUGCACGAGGUCCUGGGUUCAAUCCUCAGUACUGCCA
rnacentral:tRNA from 1 species